rnacentral:rRNA from 1 species
UUGAGUAGGGGAGCGUCGUGUCAGUGGUGAAGCUGCCGGGUGACUGUGUGGUGGAGUUGAUGCGAGUGAGAAUGCAGGCAUGAGUAGCGAUAAGGCAAGUGAGAACCUUGCCCGCCGAAAGACCAAGGGUUCCUGGGCCAGGCCAGUCCGCCCAGGGUGAGUCGGGACCUAAGGCGAGGCCGACAGGCGUAGUCGAUGGACAACGGGUUGAUAUUCCCGUACCGACGAA